UUUCGUGCCAGCCACCGCGGUCAUACGAUUAACCCAAGUUAACAGAAGAACGGCGUAAAGUGUGUUUAAGCAUUUAAAAUCCAAAAUAAAGUUAAAGAUCAAUUUAGCUGUAAUACGCCAAGGUUGAUAUUAAAAUACACAACUUACGUGACUUUACCUAUUGUUGAAGACACUAAAGCUAAGGUACAAACUGGGAUUAGAGACCCCACUAUGCUUAGCCGUAAACCGAGGUAGUUGAAUAACAAAACUAUUCGCCAGAGAACUACAAGCCACUGCUUAAAACUCAAAGGACUUGGCGGUGCCCUAGACCCUCCUAGAGGAGCCUGUUCUAUAAUCGAUAAACCCCGAUAUACCUCACCUUUUCUAGCUAUCAGUCUAUAUACCGCCAUCGUCAGCUCACCCCAAUAGGGUACCGAAGUGAGCAAGAUCAUGAAACCAUAAAAACGUUAGGUCAAGGUGUAGCAUAUGGAAAGGGAAGCAAUGGGCUACAUUUUCUAUAUUAGAACAUUACGGAUUGUCUAUUGAAACAAAGACAUGAAGGAGGAUUUAGUAGUAAAUUAAGAAUAGAGAGCUUAAUUGAAAUAGGCAAUGGGGUGCGUACACACCGCCCGUCACCCUCCUCGAUAAAGUAACAAACCUAUACCUAAUAAGAAUACGUAAAAAAGAGGAGAAAAGUCGUAACAUGGUAAGUGUACUGGAAAGUGCACUUGGAUAAUC
rnacentral:rRNA from 1 species